ACGGGAGGCAGCAGUGGGGAAUAUUGGGCAAUGGGCGCAAGCCUGACCCAGCAAUGCCGCGUGAAGGAUGAAGGCUUUCGGGUUGUAAACUUCUUUUAAGUGGGACGAUAAUGACGGUACCACUUGAAUAAGCUCCGGCUAACUACGUGCCAGCAGCCGCGGUAAUACGUAGGGAGCACGCGUUAUCCGGAUUUACUGGUGUAAAGGGCGUGUAGGCGGGACAGCAAGUCAGAUGUGAAAGCACGAGGCUUAACUUCGUGUCUGCAUUUGAAACUGCCGUUCUUGAGUGCUGGAGAGGCUAACGGAACGCCUAGUGUAGCGGUGAAAUGCGUAGAUAUUAGGAAGAACACCAGUGGCGAAGGCGGUUAGCUGGACAGUAACUGACGCUGAGGCGCGAAAGCGUGGGUAGCAAACAGGAUUAGAUACCCUGGUA
rnacentral:rRNA from 1 species